GUGGGUCUUUGUGUGUUUGUUGGUGGUUAUGUGUGUGCGUGUGUUAAAGGGAAAGGGAGGAGCUUCUGCCUUGGACCGGGUAAGUGAGAGGAAAAGGAAGUCCUGAACACAGUGGUGAGACAAACUGCUGGUCGUCUUCAGCAUGAUGAAAAUACAUGUGUACACUUGUCUUCUCUCUGUCUUAACUUUGGUGGAGAUGAAGACUAUCAACACAAAUGGACGUGUUGGGUCAAAUCUGACCGUCCUAUGCUCAGACUGGAACCUUUGGGGUUCUGUGAAAGACAAUAUGAAAUACAUCUGUCGAAGUUCCUGCUCAUACCGAGACAUCAUGUAAAAGCAGAAUAUGGAAAAACCAAACGUAAAAAUCGGAUUGAGAUAACCAACAGUGAACAAGGUUUAUUUGUGACCUUCUUUAAUCUCCAAAAGUCAGACUCUGGGAAAUAUUACUGUGGAGUGGGGAGAUAUGGCCCUGAUGGAUUCAUAGAGGUGAAUGUUGAAGUCAAGGAUGCUGAACCUUCUAGUCCUCUGAAGACUCCAAACCCAGUCUUUGUUACUGAUACAACCAGUCCGUCUACAUCUUCAAAUGUCCCUACUGUUUUUACUGACAUGUCU